GCGCAUUACUAGUAGGAGCCAUUACGUUACACCCCUUGUUUCACUAGGAAUCUAAACAUGGCGAACCGGAAAUGUGUCGCACAUAACGUGUUUCCUUGUGUACAUGCGUAGCGGGAAUUACACAGAUGUUGUGAAAAACCAAGUUUGGUUUCCACAAUUAUUUCGCCUUUUUGAUAGCCAUUUACUAAAUAAUCAAGUCAUUUAUUGUUUUAUUAGCUAAUAUUAGUUGCUGCCAUAGCCAGCUAGUUGGCUACUACUGUAGCUAACGUUAGCAUUGGAUUACUAUUUGCCAACUAGCUGACGUUACUUAGCUGUAGUGUGAAGUCAACUUCAGUUGCCACUUUGCCAAUGUAGCUAACAUGCUGGUGUGUUAAAAGGAGCAAUGUCAGUGGAAUAGGUAGUUUUCCAUCGUAUUGUUAACAUACAGCUACCAUUUUUACUUAGGAAAGUAAGCUAGCCAACUAUAGACAGACAUGGAGAGUCAAACCCAUGCGAGGAAAGCGUCUGCGCCCAUUGUGUCCCAAAUCAACGCAGAAUAUGUCACAGGUGUUUAAGAAGGUGCCAAGCCACUUCCCCUACUUAUUUAAGUGUGUGAUGGAGGACGUGUCUCUGAAGGAACAGACUGUACUGUUGGUCUUCCUCCACCACUGAUUGGUACAGCCUGGAGGUGGAUUUGAUCAGAGAGCAGGUGCAGCAGCUCAUCUUACUGCCCAUGUGGAUGUGUCUCUUACCAAGGCAAGAUGGAGAGGACAUUCCUUUCUGAGCUCAUUAACAAGUUUUUGGUGGUUCUGAUGUCCGUCUCCCCAGCAGCCCUGUACCCAAGGGGAAGGUCCACUCCUGCGUGAGGUUCAUCGAGCUCAUGAUUCACCUGGAGGCCCUGCUCCUAACACGUCGCUGGUUCAACACAGUGCUGGAUGACUCCCACUUGGUGGUGAUGACUCCCACCUGGUGUCCAGCCUCAUGCAGAGAGAGGAGGAAGGACACCUCUUCUGCAAGUUACUGGACAUACUGUUCUACACCGGCAUUGGGAUCAAUGACCAGACAGGCAACGCCCUGACAGAGAAGGAGAUGACCACGCUCCACUAUGACAGAAUCACAUCACUGCAGAAGGCAGCCUUUGCCCAUUUCCCAGAGCUGCAGGACUUUGCCCUGUCCAAUGUGGGAGCCGUGGACACACAAGAAUCCCUCACCAAACAGUUUGGCCAUUUCAGUUUCCGGGUAUGCUGGAUAAGGACCCAUAAGGCCCAUAAGUCCCAACACUCUCCACCGGGUGGCCUCGUACCUAUGUCUGUUACCAGAGCUGGCAGAGGGACAGGACACCACCAUUGAGAAAGAGGUCCUCCUGGAGCUGCUGGUAGGUGCUGUUACGAAACGGGAAGAUGUUGUCCCUAACCGCUGAUAGGGGAUCAGAUAUGUAUUUCAUCGUUCUAAUGCUUAAAAUGUGGGAAUUGGGGAAGUUUCAUCUGAUCCUAGAUCUAUGGUUAGGGAUGAUGGGAAGGAGACAAGGAGAGGAUGCUAAGGUAAUGAAUAUUUACAUGCCCCCCAAGAUGCGCUUAAGAAUGAGAGAACCCCUCAAUUUACGGCUUGGCUAAACCGAAGCGACGUCAGGAUAUGUUGGCUUGCGGAACAAUAACCACCCAGAGAGCAUAGCAUCAUAAUAUGGUUGGCGUGGCUCGUUUAAAAUACAUUCAUUUAUGCUUUUGGAGUGCAUACAGUAUGCAACCCCCCACACACACUCCUCUCCGCCCUUGAAUUUGCCUUUGAAUCCAAUUAGGGCUCAACAUUGGUGAUAGAGAUGGAGUGGGUGAAGUGGAGGAGAGGGAGGUAGAGAGAGACUAAUGAGGAAAGAGCAGCAAGGUUUCUCUUAUCCUAGGAAAAAACACCACUGUUGAUCUGCUUUGCUCUCCAAACCCACCCACCCUUAGUCCCUCCUAUAAACAGGCAUACAGUGUGUUGUUAACAAGUCUCAUCCCUGUAACCCUCCAUCACCAUGCGACCAGCCCAUCCACUGACCUGCUCUGUCCCUACUGCUGUAAUUACCCACUUCAAGUCUUCUCUAGGCCUCCUCUCCUCUGCCCGCCACUGAAGAUAAGCUUUUCCAUAAUUAGCUGAUUAGAUUGUUCCCAGAGCUAUUGUCAUGGGACUCAUUUGCGUGGACCCGGGUUGCCCUGAGCAACCGAAAAUCUCCAGAUUCCACUCUGGUAUUAUGCGUUAUUUGUUUGGUCACCGGUGCCAGAGGCUUGUAGAGAUGUGCUGUGUAGA